AGGACCUUGACCCCAGAAAGGAUGGCACCCACCUUUCUCCCAGCAUGCCCUAGGGCUGGGGUCAAAGGUAGACCUGCCUCCCCAGGCAGUACGUGGUCCUCACCGACUCCAAGGUCUCUUGAGGCCAGCCGACGUCAAGUCUGAGAUAGGGCGCACAAACACGUGAGUAAUGGGCUUCCCUGAUGGCUCAGACGGUGACGAAUCUACAUGCAAUGUAGGAGACUUGGGUUUGAUCCCUGGGUCAGGAAAAUCCCCUCGAGAAAGAAAUGGCAACGCACUCCAGUAUUCUUGCCUGGAGAAUCCCACGGACAGAGGAGCCUGGUGGGCUACACAUAUGGACUUGCAAAGAAUUGGACAUGGACUUUCACCUUCACUCUUCUCACGUGCCAUCCCUGGGGCUAGCAGGAGAAUCCAUUCCCCCAGACCACUUAGGUCAGCAAAAGAGAGUGGGGAUUAUUGGGGAGGGUUGAAAGAUGGAAUUAUGCUGGAAAGACAAGCAACAGACGCCUCCCCUGGUGUCAGAACCAGCACUGGAACCCUGGCGAGGCCCAGUCCUCUGUUCUUUCCAGUCCACCUGCCUCCAAAGUGGACUAGCUCCGGGAGGAGUCCUCAUUCAGGUCCCCACCUCCAGGGAAGACUGUACCUAAACAUUCCAGACAAAUGAACCCCAUCCACAUUCUUCCAGGAAGGAGGUAAUUACCUCAGCUCUCCUGCCUGGUGUCCCUGGGGAAACUUCAGCCACAUGCCAGAGUCACGCUGGGUCAUUCAUGUAUGAACCUGUGUCCUGGACAAACAUAAAAAACUCUCAAUCACACUUGGGCUUGUAGGCUUGCACAGUGUCUAUUUGCUGACCUCAGAGGGACUCCCUAAAAGACGAGUGUGAUGAUGAAAUUAAUAAUAAAGGGGCCAGUGUGUCUCUGCCUUUGUCCCUGAGGUUCAACACUUCAGGGCAUUUGGCAUGGGACUCAUUUACUGGAAAACAGAUUAAUGUCAGGAUUCAGCCAGCAGACAGGGUCUGUGCUUAAGCAGGCUGAAUGCAACCCAGGCUGUAUGACCUUGGGUAACUCAUAUAACCUCUCCAUGUCUCUUGCCAUCUCAAAAGCAAUUGGAAUGCUAAGGACGCCUCAAAAGCUGGUUUUGACAAUUAAAAUGUAUGAAGUGUUUGAAAUGGACCCUGAUGCAUGCCAAGCACUCUAUAAUAAGUUAUGAUUAUUUAAUUCAUAAGGUAUUGAUGACACAUCUCCUAUGGGUCCAGACACUCUGCUAGGUGAAAGAAAUUCGGAGAUCCAUGAGGAUCUGGAAAACUAUAAUCAUAGUAUUCAGUCUAGGGGAAGAUAAGACCCAUAGAAAGAGAAAACACAAUACAUGAUGACAAAUCCUAUUGCUGAGCUUUGAAAAAAGUUCUAACUCUACCUGCAAGAGACCAAGAAAGCCUUUCAAGGGCUGUGACGUUUGACCUAGGCCUUCAAAGAGUCUGCAAAAGAAAGGCAUCGGGGGAAAGCCAUUCUAGGUAAAGAGGACAGAGCGUUGGCUUGGGGACAGGUUGUCCAUGGAAGAAUGGGCUCAGAGUGACAGGAACAUAAGGUCCCUGGGGGGGUGGGGGAGUAGAUGAUAGACAUGAAAAGUUGGUUAUAUGUCAUGCUUCAGAAUUUGGAUUUUAUCCUGAGACAGUAGGGGCCAGAAAAGUGUUCUUUAAGCAAGAGAAGGAAAUGGGAUGAGACAUGACUUUUUUUUUAGGACUAAAACUGCUAGCAGGGUCGGGGGUGACCUGGCUGGGGAGAGACAGUGAUGGCCAGGCUAGUCAGGAGAUGAAGAGAUGGCAGAGGCAAAGCCGUGGUUGUAGGGAUGGGACUGAAGGGGACAGAGUCAGGAGAGGACAAUGGGCAGGAAGUGGUGGUUACUGGACACUGGAGAGGACAGGAGGGACAAGUCAAGCCCACAUCUAGAGUCUCUGGCUUGAGAGGCUGACGAAUGGUCUUGACCGAGUUAGGGAGCUAAGAAGAGUAGACUUUAAGAGGUUGGCAUGAGUGGAGCAAAUGGACCCAUAUUGGGUCACUUUCUGUGGGCCACCUCUUCAUACUUACUAUGUCAAGUAACUCUUGGAAAAUAGAAUAAGUGGUACAGAACAGAUUUUUCAAAUUUUCCCCGACAACCAUCAUAAGUCUGCAACUCUAUCUCCUGAUUGUUAAAGCCAUCAAGAUCAUCAAACAUACCUGCAAAGGGCAGGCAAGGAUCUAAACAAGAAUAACAAGCAAAGCAUUGCUG
ensembl:lncRNA